rnacentral:tRNA from 1 species
GCAUUGGUGGUUCAGUGGUAGAAUUCUCGCCUGCCACGCGGGAGGCCCCGGGUCGAUUCCCCGGCAAAGGAA